UAGCUUAUUGAAUUUUUAUAAUAAGUAUUUUCUGCCCUAUGAAAUUUUAAAUGGCCGCGGUAUUUUGACCGUGCAAAGGUAGCAUAAUCAUUUGCCUUUUUAUUGAAGGCUAGAAUGAAAGAAAGCAUAAGAGUUAUACUGUCUCAAAAAUAAAAUAAAAAUUGCUGGUAUUGUGAAGAAGCAAUAAAAGCAAAAAAAGACAAGAAGACCCUAUUAAGCUUUAUUUUUACUUUUUAUUUUUUAUCUUAUAAGAAUAAAAAAUAAAAAGUUUUAAAUUUGGUUGGGGUGACUAAAAAGGAAAAAAUCCUUUUUAUUAUUUUUUAAUUUUAUAAUUUAAUCUAGAUCCAGUUUUACUGAUUUAUUGAAUAAGUUACUAUAGGGAUAACAGCGUAAUUUUUUCAUAGAGUUCUUAUCGAAGAAAAAGAUUGCGACCUCGAUGUUGACUUAUUAUUUCCUUUUUAAGGUGCAGUAGCUUUUAGGGUUAGUCUGUUCGACUAUUAAAAUAAU
rnacentral:rRNA from 1 species